rnacentral:rRNA from 1 species
GGCAUAUACAAAGAGAAGCGACCUCGCGAGAGCAAGCGGACCUCAUAAAGUAUGUCGUAGUCCGGAUUGGAGUCUGCAACUCGACUCCAUGAAGUCGGAAUCGCUAGUAAUCGUAGAUCAGAAUGCUACGGUGAAUACGUUCCCGGGCCUUGUACACACCGCCCGUCACACCAUGGGAGUGGGUUGCAAAAGAAGUAGGUAGCUUAACCUUCGGGAGGGCGCUUACCACUUUGUGAUUCAUGACUGGGGUGAAGUCGUAACAAGGUAACCGUAGGGGAACCUGCGGUUGGAUCACCUCCUU